GUGCCUAAUUAUUGCUUGCCUUUUGUGUCAAUCAAGCGGUUUCGCGAGGGGAAAGUUGACGAAGUUUGCGGCUGUAAAUCAAACGAUAAUGUUUUGUCCAUUUUGUGGAAAUUAUUCGAGCCAGUUGGCUCGCUUUUGUUGUUCUUGUGGGAAGUGUUUAGACUUUUUAAAUGAAACGGAUCAGACAGAUGAACCAGAUGUGCUACAUUGUUGUAUAGGGUAUUUCAAUGCAGGCCACUCUUACGACGUAAUCGUUGACAUGAUGUACUCUUUACAUGGUGUAAACAUUAGUUUGCGGUGUCUUAAAACUAAACUUAAAGAAGCCGGACUGUAUCGUAGAAAGGAUUAUUCCUCUACAAACACUGUCAGGAGUGCUAUCAGGUUGGAGCUUCGUGGACCCGGACAACUCUUUGGCUACCGAACGAUGUGGCAAGUACUGAAACAAAAGUACAAUCUACGAGUAAAGAGAGAUGAUGUUAUGGUGUUUCUCCGGGAGCUCAAUUCUCAAGGAUGCGAGAGGAGAGCACGCAGAAGAUUUGUAAGAAGAACCUACCACUCAAUGGGGCCGAAUUAUAUGUGGCAUGCUGAUGGUUAUGACAAACUAAAGCCAUUUGGCUUGGCACUUUCGGGAUGCAUAGAUGGAUUUUCACGGAAAGUACUAUGGCUCAUAUGUGGACCAACAAAUAACAAUCCAUCAGUGAUUGCUCACAAUUUCCUCUCUUGCCUGAGAAACCUUGGCGUUGUCCCCAUGAGACUGCGGACCGAUUGCGGCACGGAGAACGGCAUUAUGGCUGCAAUUCAGUGUACCCUACGCCACCAUCACACUGACUACUACUCGGGAAUGUCUAGCCACAUGUAUGGCUCAUCCACAAACAAUCAACGAAUUGAGUCGUGGUGGUCUAUAUUCAGAAGGGGAAGGUCUCAGUUCUGGAUGGAGUUAUUUGCUGACCUCAGAGAUGCAGGACUCUUUAAUGGAAGUCAUGAACAUCAGUGUUUGCUAAGAUUUUGCUUCACUGAUGUCAUACAGAAGGAUCUGGAUGAAUAUAUCAUGCUGUAGAACAGUCACAGGAUUCGCACUUCUAGAACUGCAUCAUGUCCUGGAGGAGUGCCUAAUGAACUGUACUACUUACCACACAGAUUUGGCUCUAGAGACUGUGGAUUUACCAUCGAAUGCACAGAACUGGACACAUUCCCUGAGUUAAACCAGUCAAUGAAUCCAUGUGGUGACCCAAACAUCCAGGAGUACUUGGACUUUGUUAUGGAGCACAGUCAACUACAGAAGCCAGAGAACUGUGAGUCUGCCUCAGAACUCUAUAUACGUCUUAAAGAAAUUGCUCAGCUAUAAUUAUUCCAAUUACUGAAAAAUCUAAAAUUGUACACAUUACCUUAAUGAAAUACUGUCUCGAGAAUGAAUAUUAACUUGUGCAAUUCACAAUUUGCGUUUGUGCAAAAACUCCUAUAUCUGACCUAAAUUGUCACAGAGAUGGUGAAGUGUGAAAUGGAGUAAAAAUAAUGCGUAGUGUAAAAUAACACUAUGUAAGUAUGGAAAAUAAACAAGCUAUAUUUCAA